AAAACCUUAUCAAAAAAUCCUUCUUCUCCCAGACGCUAACCCACCAAAGAAAAACCCCAUUUUCUCUCCUCUUUCAAAUGGCCGAUCGUCUCGGUGUUUAAAGAAGGCCUUCUGCCUCUUCGAUAAGGACUGCGAUGGAAUUUGUGGUAUUCGCAAGUCGCCGAAAGAUGGAUUUGGAAGCUUCGAAUUCGCAAGUCGCUGAAAGAUGGAUUUGGAAGCUUCCAACCAUAGGGGAAUUGUAGACUUCAUUGGAAUCUACCUUGGCAUUAAAGACAUGGUUAGUAGGCACGGCAGACCUGUAUUGUCCUUACGCUAAGGGACAUCAGGUACUGAAUCAUAGCACGUGUUUCAGAUAACACAGGUAGCAUCGCGGCAGUCAUUUUCGACCAUGCCGGCAAACAACUUUUAGGUAAGACGUGAAGAGUUGGCUGCAACUAAAGACCCGAUGAAAACAUUGUACUUAGUAAUGGGGCAGACACCAAUGCACCAUCAAAAAGGCCUGGCAAAGGCAAUUUGACCGAUCAAAACUGAACUCACUGAAGAUGUCACUUUUGUCCACCUAAAAGAAGAAGCGAAGGCGGGAUGCAGCCUAAAAGUAGAAUCGCUAAAAGCAUACCUUACUUUAGAACUACUUGUAACUAAUUUGUAAACUGCAUACUAAUGCCAGCAGUGUGUAUGCCUAAACAUACUGUAUUUUGUAUGCUGUGUCUACAAACAGCACCGUGAUUAACUACUGAAAAGUCGUUAUUA
rnacentral:lncRNA from 1 species